rnacentral:tRNA from 1 species
GCUGCUGUAGCUCAGCCGGUAGAGCACUUCCUUGGUAAGGAAGAGGUCAUGGGUUCGAUUCCCAUCAGCAGCU